GCCUGACUGGCUCAAUCUGUAGAGCAUGAGACUCUUGAUCUUGGGGUUGAUGAGUUCAAGCCCCAGGUAGGGCA
rnacentral:tRNA from 1 species